CCCUGGUAGGCCGCUCACUGCUGGGAGUCACAGGCUCUUUCUCUUUCUUCUGUCUUGAUUCUUUAGUCUGAUUCUGCUCUUUCUUCCCAGAGCGCCUUGGGCCACCUCGCUUAGCUUUCCUUGUCCGUUCUUCUUCCUGCUCCUGCUCUUCCUCCUGUGCAUCCUCUUCCUUCUCCUCUUUAGGUACCUCCACUUUCACCUCAUCUUUUUC
rnacentral:misc_RNA from 1 species